rnacentral:rRNA from 1 species
CACGUAGGGCGCAAGCGUUGUCCGGAAUUAUUGGGCGUAAAGAGCUCGUAGGCGGUCUGUUGCGUCCGCUGUGAAAACUCGGGGCUUAACCCCGAGCCUGCAGUGGAUACGGGCAGACUAGAGGUAGGUAGGGGAGAAUGGAAUUCCCGGUGUAGCGGUGAAAUGCGCAGAUAUCGGGAGGAACACCGGUGGCGAAGGCGGCCAUCUGGACGACGACUGACGCUGAGACGCGAAAGCGUGGGUAGCAAACAGG